GGCGGCGUAGCCAAGUGGUAAGGCAGAGGUCUGCAAAACCUCUAUUCAGCGGUUCAAAUCCGCUCGCCGCCUCCA
rnacentral:tRNA from 4 species